CUGGCGGAAUGCUUUACACAUGCAAGUCGAGCGGCAGCGCGGGGCAACCUGGCGGCGAGCGGCGAACGGGUGAGUAACACAUCGGAACAUAUCCAUUUGUGGGGGAUAGCCCGGCGAAAGCCGGAUUAAUACCGCAUGAGCUCGGGAGAGGAAAGCCGGGGACCGCAAGGCCUGGCGCGAAUGGGUUGGCCGAUGUCCGAUUAGCUUGUUAGUGAGGUAAAGGCUUACCAAGGCGAUGAUCGGUAGCUGGUCUGAGAGGAUGAUCAGCCACACUGGGACUGAGACACGGCCCAGACUCCUACGGGAGGCAGCAGUGGGGAAUUUUGGACAAUGGGGGCAACCCUGAUCCAGCCAUUCCGCGUGAGUGAAGAAGGCCUUCGGGUUGUAAAGCUCUUUUGUCCGGAGCGAAAAGGUUACGGUGAAUAGCCGUGACUACUGACGGUACCGGAAGAAUAAGCACCGGCUAACUACGUGCCAGCAGCCGCGGUAAUACGUAGGGUGCGAGCGUUAAUCGGAAUUACUGGGCGUAAAGCGUGCGCAGGCGGUUUUGUAAGCCAGACGUGAAAUCCCCGGGCUUAACCUGGGAAUGGCGUUUGGGACUGCAAGGCUCGAGUACGGCAGAGGGG
rnacentral:rRNA from 1 species